GUAAUAUAUCGGAACGUGCCCAGUCGUGGGGGAUAACGCAGCGAAAGCUGUGCUAAUACCGCAUACGAUCUCUGGAUGAAAGCGGGGGACUCGCAAGGGCCUCGCGCGAUUGGAGCGGCCGAUAUCAGAUUAGCUAGUUGGUGGGGUAAAGGCCUACCAAGGCGACGAUCUGUAGCUGGUCUGAGAGGACGACCAGCCACACUGGAACUGAGACACGGUCCAGACUCCUACGGGAGGCAGCAGUGGGGAAUUUUGGACAAUGGGCGCAAGCCUGAUCCAGCAAUGCCGCGUGCAGGAUGAAGGCCUUCGGGUUGUAAACUGCUUUUGUACGGAACGAAACGGUUCUUUUUAAUACAGAGAGCUAAUGACGGUACCGUAAGAAUAAGCACCGGCUAACUACGUGCCAGCAGCCGCGGUAAUACGUAGGGUGCGAGCGUUAAUCGGAAUUACUGGGCGUAAAGCGUGCGCAGGCGGUGAUGUAAGACAGAUGUGAAAUCCCCGGGCUCAACCUGGGACCUGCAUUUGUGACUGCAUCGCUGGAGUGCGGCAGAGGGGGAUGGAAUUCCGCGUGUAGCAGUGAAAUGCGUAGAUAUGCGGAGGAACACCGAUGGCG
rnacentral:rRNA from 1 species